rnacentral:rRNA from 1 species
GAUGAACGCUGGCGGCGUGCCUAAUACAUGCAAGUCGAGCGAACGGACGAGAAGCUUGCUUCUCUGAUGUUAGCGGCGGACGGGUGAGUAACACGUGGAUAACCUACCUAUAAGACUGGGAUAACUUCGGGAAACCGGAGCUAAUACCGGAUAAUAUUUUGAACCGCAUGGUUCAAAAGUGAAAGACGGUCUUGCUGUCACUUAUAGAUGGAUCCGCGCUGCAUUAGCUAGUUGGUAAGGUAACGGCUUACCAAGGCAACGAUGCAUAGCCGACCUGAGAGGGUGAUCGGCCACACUGGAACUGAGACACGGCCCAGACUCCUACGGGAGGCAGCAGUAGGGAAUCUUCCGCAAUGGGCGAAAGCCUGACGGAGCAACGCCGCGUGAGUGAUGAAGGUCUUCGGAUCGUAAAGCUCUGUUAUUAGGGAAGAACAUAUGUGUAAGUAACUGUGCACAUCUUGACGGUACCUAAUCAGAAAGCCACGGCUAACUACGUGCCAGCAGCCGCGGUAAUACGUAGGUGGCAAGCGUUAUCCGGAAUUAUUGGGCGUAAAGCGCGCGUAGGCGGUUUUUUAAGUCUGAUGUGAAAGCCCACGGCUCAACCGUGGAGGGUCAUUGGAAACUGGAAGACUUGAGUGCAGAAGAGGAAAGUGGAAUUCCAUGUGUAGCGGUGAAAUGCGCAGAGAUAUGGAGGAACACCAGUGGCGAAGGCGACUUUCUGGUCUGUAACUGACGCUGAUGUGCGAAAGCGUGGGGAUCAAACAGGAUUAGAUACCCUGGUAGUCCACGCCGUAAACGAUGAGUGCUAAGUGUUAGGGGGUUUCCGCCCCUUAGUGCUGCAGCUAACGCAUUAAGCACUCCGCCUGGGGAGUACGACCGCAAGGUUGAAACUCAAAGGAAUUGACGGGGACCCGCACAAGCGGUGGAGCAUGUGGUUUAAUUCGAAGCAACGCGAAGAACCUUACCAAAUCUUGACAUCCUUUGACAACUCUAGAGAUAGAGCCUUCCCCUUCGGGGGACAAAGUGACAGGUGGUGCAUGGUUGUCGUCAGCUCGUGUCGUGAGAUGUUGGGUUAAGUCCCGCAACGAGCGCAACCCUUAAGCUUAGUUGCCAUCAUUAAGUUGGGCACUCUAAGUUGACUGCCGGUGACAAACCGGAGGAAGGUGGGGAUGACGUCAAAUCAUCAUGCCCCUUAUGAUUUGGGCUACACACGUGCUGCAAUGGACAAUACAAAGGGCAGCGAAACCGCGAGGUCAAGCAAAUCCCAUAAAGUUGUUCUCAGUUCGGAUUGUAGUCUGCAACUCGACUACAUGAAGCUGGAAUCGCUAGUAAUCGUAGAUCAGCAUGCUACGGUGAAUACGUUCCCGGGUCU